CUGAAAGUAGCCGAAAAUAAACGUGCGGUAGAACAGCUUUAAAAUUUUGGAAAAUUUGUAACCUUAAUCUUUACGACAGAAAAUGAUGAAUUCAACGCGUCUUGUUCUUGUGAACAGAUUUAUUCAAUUACGCCAAUUUCAUAAAUGCGUUAUUUACUCGCAAACGGAGACUGCAGCUGCUCCCAUAGAUGCCAUAUCAGUACCAAUACCAGAGGGUGUAGAGAAGCCGGUAUCGGCAAAAAUUGACAAAAUUGCUAAAGAUAUUACUGCUUUGAACCUCAUCGAAGUAGCAGAACUGAGUGAUCUGCUGAAGAAACGGCUGAAUCUUCCGGAUGCUCCUAUCAUGCCUAUGGGAGGCUUUGCUAUGCCUACAGCAGUAACUGACGAAGAAGAGGCAGCUCCGGUUAAACAAGUAAAGUCAUCAUUUACGGUUAAGCUUACAAAGUUUGACGACAAGCAGAAAGUAGCUUUGAUUAAAGAAAUUAAAAAUCUUUUACCUGGAAUGAAUUUAGUUCAGGCUAAGAAAUUUGUCGAGUCUGCACCGACGAUCGUUAAAGCGGACGUGGCUAAGGACGAAGCAGAGAAAUUGAAGGAAGCCCUUACUAAUGUUGGUGCCGUGGUGGAUAUCGAAUAAGCGAUAAUUUACAUAUAAUGUACUUAUAGUCCGUUCCAUCGUGUCCUGCAUUUAAAAUAGAAAAGAAUGCGUUAGGCUAUGUUGAAAUUUCCUCGAGAACGACGAGGACGGCAAUGGUGGUUAAAGUGAUAAUUUUUUUGGUACUCCAAAGUCGAGGAGUGACGUCCAAC